AACGAACGCUGGCGGCAUGCCUAACACAUGCAAGUCGAACGAGACCUUCGGGUCUAGUGGCGCACGGGUGCGUAACGCGUGGGAAUCUGCCCUUCGGUUGGGAAUAACUGAGAGAAAUUUCAGCUAAUACCUUAUAAUGUCUUCGGACCAAGGAUUUAUCGCCGAGGGAUGAGCCCGCGUAGGAUUAGGUAGUUGGUGGGGUAAUGGCCUACCAAGCCGACGAUCCUUAGCUGGUCUGAGAGGAUGAUCAGCCACACUGGGACUGAGACACGGCACAGACUCCUACGGGAGGCAGCAGUGGGGAAUAUUGGACUAUGGGCGAAGGCCUGAUCCAGCAAGGCCGCGUGAGUGAUGAAGGCAUUAGGGUGGUAAAGCUCUUUUACCCGGGAUGAUAAUGACAGUACCGGGAGAAUAAGCUCCGGCUAACUCCGUG
rnacentral:rRNA from 1 species